AUUCCGAAGGAUUCUCGGGGUAUGAAAUCAGCUCAUCAUCCUGGAGAACAGAGGCUGCAGGGAGGCGCGGUGACCUCGCGGGAAAAGACGCAGCGCGAAUCGAACCCGCCAGUCCCCGUGCGAAUUCGUUAAGGGAAACAACGGUUGGGACUUGCAGUCAACUUUGGAAACGAAUUUAAAAGUCACCUUGAUCAGCGUUCCUUACUGAGGAGCCGGGGGAGAAAAGAGCCUCAUAAUCCCUCUUCGCUAACUCCUCUCUGCACCCUCAUUCCGAAGCGACUGACCUUCAACAGAAUGUAUGUCUAAAAAGACAAAAUCAACGAAAUGCCCCAAAACAUCUAUACUUGGAAUAUACGGAGAAAACUAGAUGCAUAAGGAGACACUUUUAAAGUAGGAUGAAAUGUACAGACUGUGCAAAACUUUGGAAUCUUUGGAGAGAUGUUUAGACAACUGAUGAAGUGCUUGCGGUUGGAUUGAUGAUAAAUACCGAGAAGCCUAAGCAGUAAAAACAAAAACAACAAGAAAAGACAAUUUUGUACUAAUACUGGGGGAAUAAAACUUAACAAUGUA